AGAAACAGUGUGGCAAUGUUUAUUAUUUGUGAAAAGUGUAAUGAAUAGCAAUAGCUUGCUUUGUGUCAAAGCAAGUGAGAAAUGGCCAUUUGUUACCCUAAAUGUGUUUGUAUUCCUUUUGAAAAGAUGGACGACUUUGUGAAGGAAAAGCUCAAUGUGUGAAAUUGGACUGAUAUAUCCCUUCUUUUGAAGGAUGCCUGGUUGUGACCCCAGGUAGGAUUCAUAAACCAGCAACAGGGUUCAUAGCGCCUUAGCAAUGUCUUCAUGAAAAAAGCCAGGGCAGGCGAAUAAAUUUGCCACAAGAGAUCCAAGUCAUUCUGCCAGCCUGGAACAAACCUGGUGCAGUACCUAGCCAUAGCAACCACAGAGUACCACUUCAUUUUUAAUGCUUUGGGGGCAGCAUUGGAGCUUUUGUCCCUUUUGGGUGCAGUUGAUGGGUGUUUGAAAGAAUUUUAGGUCUUUUAUAUCAGUUACCCAAAACGCUGCACCCAGGUUAAGAGUUCAUUCAGAAUGUCAUUUUUAAAAUGCUAGGAAGUGAAUCAAAUGCAAUUAAGUGAUCUCAACUUCCUGUGAUACAAGAUGAAAUCAUUGUUACCUAUGUAUUUGAAAAUUCUUGCUCACAUGUACUUAAAUAAAUUGUAAAUACAUUUUUUUUACUGUA